UUAGAACUUGUGCCGUGCGUGCCUGGGCACGCGAUGCACACGCUUCCAGUCGACUGGAUUCCCGUUGCUCGUCGUCACAAGCGGAUGAAAAAUGUCGCCGUCAUUCUACUUCGAUUUCAAAAAAGAAAUUCAGUUACGCCAUUUGUAAUGAUCAAACAAAGUGUUAUUAUUUGUUCACCAUUUUUCUCUGUGAUUAACGUUCGUUUCAUUCGAAUUAAUUGAAUGUUGGCAAUCAAGUAGAAAUGGGCGACUACCACAGUUCAGAGCAUCAGCACCCGGAUGUUUAUUCUAGUGUGCAUUAUCCUUGUUGGCAGCGCUAACAGUCGAUUAGCUACAAGAUUCACGUUGCGGUGACGAGAGAAUUCAUCGACAUGGUCCUGCAGUCGGUGUCAGGUAGUUCAAAGGUGUUUUUCUGAUGAAAACGAAUGACGACACAAUUUUACGCCGACGGGGACAGACGGAACCGGAUUUUAUUACAAAGAAUUAAAUCUAAAUAGAUUGAGGAUGUGUCGACCGAUUAACCGGAAUCCGGAUCGUCGGUGUCGAAAAACAUGUGACCCAUUGCCAUUUGUAUCCUUUUUAACCCGUAGAAUAUUUUCACUUCUAAUUGGAUUCUGCUCGAUUCACACCCUAAAAGGAUAUUGCGGCUAUUUUGGCCAAGUUGGACACAACCUGGCGACAGACACAACCGGGGCUUCGCUUCCGGAUCAACAUUUUUAUUACCAAAAAGUUAUCGAUUGCCGACGAUGAAGCCAUCAAAGAAACCGAAUAUUAUGACACGGAUAAGGAAAUAUCGAUCCCAAAUCUAUUUCGUUCAAAAUUACUAACAAAUGGCGGCCAAAUUAGACAGGACUUUUUGUCGACAAUCACCGAUGGUCACGGUGGGGCAGCACCGGCUUCAAGUGAAAAUCGAUUCGCUUUAGUGGCGUAACAAUUUUGUGUUAUUACACAGCGGAGAAACGUGAUGACGCAUGAAAAUUGUCCGUGAUUACCAUCAAGCAAUUCCUUAUACACUCAGGUGUGUCAUUAUGAGUUAGCUUAUUAUUUUGUUAGUUAAAUCCAAGACUAUGGCUUCGUCGUAUCAGCUGAGGAUCAAGGCCCAGCAACAGCGAAGGCUUCAGGUACACGGAUCUGGCGAUGUCGUUAUGAAAUUCUGUGGGGGGGGGGGGGGGUAAGCUGGAGGAUGAAUUUGCGAUUAUCAUUGGAAUGUCAUGAAAUAAUGCGAAGGCUAUUGUCAUCAGUGUUGAUGAUCUUUCUAUUUUUGAUCUCCUCAUCAGGUAAUUAUCCGUAAUCAAUAGCGUGACAGGUGUGUCAAUAGGCAAUUAAUGGAGAACCGCGGCCUUCUCUCGAGGCUAUCUUGAUGGCUUCUUUUUCUUCAUGGCCAAGGACAAUUUCAUGGAUGUAAUCCUUCAAACUGGUGAUUGAUAGCUCGGAUUAGAUGGUACUAAUUUUCUGGUCGAGAAAGAUUUCACUUUUUAAAGGACGGAGAGAAUCUAUUGCCGAUAAUUGCGCCAUUUCGAUACGAAUAGAACUUCCGACGGCUGCGGUGGUGGCUUUUUGGAUUUUGAUGAAGACUUGAUACAAAUUUGGAGUGGAGAAUAUUACGAAGGAACGCGAAAGGCAACUGAAACUACAAGUAGCCUACCAUCAAUUCUUUGAUUAAAAUCGCCGUUCUGCUGAAUGCUUUAUCCUGUUGAUGCAGACAAGCCAUGGGUAAUCUUCAGGUUAAUUGCAGCAACUUGGGACUUGGGAGAAGUCCUGUGAAAAGACACAGGGCUCAUGACCAGAUUUGUGUUUUUUUGAAUGUUCUAUUCAAGUAGUAGUUAGUUGGAACCCUAACUCAAACACAGACAACACAUUGCUGCUGCCUUACGGCCACAGGCAGGAAAAUGAUUCUUUUCUUCAGAAAAUGGGAAAACAGCUUUGAUUGAUUUUAUUUGAUUUCCGAAAGCUAUUUGCCUAUUUGAGUAAUCUGGUAUUCAUCCUCACUUGAUUCAUUUCGUGCCAGUAGUGAAAGGCGUGAAGAAUUCAAGUUUAGCUGCUGCGUGCUGUUAGCAAGCAAGCAAUCCAAUUGAUGUCCACCAGGUGGCGCGAGUGUCUUUAAGGCCCAAAUUCGGCCAUUUUGUUCCUUGACGCAGCAGAAGUGAGAUGCCGGUCGUGACGUUUCCCAAAAUGAAAAGGUGAUUGAUCUUACCACUUUGCCAUCUGAAUUGAAAAUGCCUGUACAUUUGCCGAAAUGUCGUGCCUCGUGUGUCUCGCUGCCUGUACCCAGUCGUACGUCUCAUCCCAUGCAACAGCAAAAGUCUAACAACCACGCUGCACGCUGCAGCCAGAUGGUGAAAGGUGUGAUGAAGAAAACCAAACGUUGUAUGCAGGAUGUGGUGCCAGUGUUAUCCAGAAGUAGCUGUGCUGGAGUUAUUCCGAAGCAGCUGAGCCAGAAUUUGUCCAAAUUGCUGACUUCAAAAUUUUAACUGCUUUCAUUUGUAUUUUUUGCUUUGCAAGUGGUAUCCAUGGUGCUGAUUUGAAAUAUUUUUAUCCCCUUUUAUUUGUGGUUUUGCUCUGCCAGUGAGUUGCUGACUUGAAUUGGUUUUAUAUGUUGUCUUUUUUCCUUUUUACUUGGGCAGUAUACGACUGUGGCAAACUGAUUCUAUGUCAGUUUUGAUACAGUCGACAACUGCUAGAUUAAAUACCGGCUUUCCGCACCAACAAAAUAAUAACGGCACAUGUUAUUAUCGCGGUUGGGAAAGUCACAGGCCCCCCCUCCCUGGGGGCCAUAAAAUAUAUAUGUGGCUAUGUUAAAAGAAUAAAUAUUGUAAAAUAA